rnacentral:lncRNA from 1 species
CUCCUAUAGUCUGAAAUUUGGGGUCCAGAGACACACUGUCCAAAUCAAGGUCAAGAAGUCUUUAACUUCUAAACACCUCCAAGUGUUCACCUACACAGAGCAGGGUACUCUCCUUGAGGUUUUUGUCCAGAAUGACUGCUGCUAUCAUGGUUACAUGGAAGGGAACCCCGAAACCCUGGUUGCUCUUAGCAAAGCCCUUGUAUUGAGAUAAAGGUAUUUGAUAAAAAGGUAAAUGUCAUUGUUUAUGAAAUUAAGCCCAAAAGACUUUCUACCACAUUUGAACAUCUGGUAUGUUCCCACCCAUGAAAUGCGGAUUAACAGAAGGAGAAAUAGCAAGACCAAGUUUCAAGAGAGUGAUAAUUUCCCUUUCAUGCAAAGUGGAUAUAAGGGCUGGUGGAGUCACAAAUGGAUCCUUGAACUGGCAGUGGUGGUAGACUAUAAACAAUUCUUCUAUCAGCAAUGUAAUAUCUGAAAAGUUCAGGAGGAAGUAGUCAUGGUUGUCCAUGAAAUAAGUGCUUAUUUAACCACAUUGGACAUUGAUGUGGUUUUACUUGGAACUGAGGUCUGGAAUGCCACCCCUGUCUCUGCAGAAAAAAAUCCAUUUCUGGGACAAUUUUGAGAAUUAAAAAAACAGCUUUAAUUCUUGCAUACACCAUAAUGCUGCACAUGUUUUUGUAAGACACAGAUACCCUAAAUAUCUUGGCUUAGAUUUAUUAUGUUGGAACAAUAUGCAGUCUUCCUCUUAAUUGUGGAAUUAGUAGUUUCAUAGGUGACACAUUUUCUUUUUUUUGCAUUGAUUGUGUUACAUGCACUUGGUUAUAAUUUGGGAAUGGAGUACAAUAACAAAACCAAAGUCCAUGAGGACAAAAAAUGAUACAUAAUGUUUGAAAUAGUAACAUAUGAAAGUAGGUAUAGCAGUUGCAGUUACAGUUAUGCUAAGUUAGUGGCCACCACUGUUAAAAAAAAAUUAAAGAGGUACUUAUACAAUUCACCAAAUCCUGAGGUCAUCUUCACAAAGCCAUGCUGUAUGAAUGGUGUGGUUGAAGAAAAUGAGGAUUAUGACUGUGGUUCUUUACAGUUGUGUAAAAAAGAUUCACGUGGUUUGGCGAACUGCACUCUGAAACCUGGGGCUGCUUGUGCUUUGGGGCUUCGUUGCAGUUCAUCCCAUCAGGUAAGGUGUGCAGAGAACAGGACAAUGGAUGUGAUCUUCCAGAGCAGUGAAACAGAACUUGCAUAAUUGUCCAGAAGAUGUGUAUGUGCAGGACAGGGUUCC